AAAAAAUGUAUCUUUCGAUAAUAGCAAUUUUUGUGCUUUUAUGCAUGUCACUUCUCACGGGUGAAGUUUUCGCCUGUGUCAAAAGAAAUGGCAAAUGUCGCAAAAAUAGAGAUUGUUGCAGUAAACGUUGUGGAAAAGUGUCAAAAAGAUGUGAUUAAUGGUAUUAUGAUCAGUCACUUCAUCUCCAAUGGAUGGCAAAUAUUUGAAAAAAAAAAAAAAAUUUUACAAUUUAUUUGAAAAUUUAAUUUUAACAUGAAGUAAAAUUAAAUUAUUAUCUUUAAAUUAUAUUUCUUUCUAUCUACCUCAAUUCUGUAUGUAUUUGACUAUUUUAAUAAAUUGUGAAAAAAUUGCAAUAACGCAAA